rnacentral:rRNA from 1 species
GAUGAACGCUGGCGGCGUGCCUAAUACAUGCAAGUCGAGCGAAGCGGGGGCGGGUGAGUAGCACGUGGAUAACCUCCUAUAAGACUGGGAUAACUUCGGGGAACCGGAGCUAAACCGGAAACUUAUAGAUGGAUCCGCGCUGCAUUAGCUAGUUGGUAAGGUAACGGCGUACCAAGGCAACGAUGCAUAGCCGACCUGAGAGGGUGAUCGGCCACACUGGAACUGAGACACGGCCCAGACUCCUACGGGAGGGAGCAGUAGGGAAUCUUCCGCCAUGGGCGAAAGCCUGACGGAGCAACGCCGCGUGAGUGAUGAAGGUCUUCGGUGUGUAAAACUCUGUUAUUAGGGAAGCGGUACCUAAUCAGAAAGCCACGGCUAACUACGUGCCAGCAGCCGCGGUAAUUC